UUUUGAAUCAACUAUGAUAAAAAAUUGAAAAAUUCCCCAAAGACUAUGUGUGACUUGGCUAUUGGUUCAAGAAAUGCCUCUUCGCCCAAGACAAGUAUUAAUACCCUUUUCUCACUUAAAAAUUAAAGUUAAUAACAUCCUUCAUUUUCGUUUGUCAAGUAUUGUAAGAGAUGAAGGGGAAUGUCAAACAUCAUUCUUAUAAGCGGGAGACGCCAAUCACCGGAAGAUGAACUUUCACGGUGUGAACUUUGACACGCGAAUUUUGCUUAUUAUCAAGGAAAGGCAGUUAAAAGGGGCAGCAGACAGAUGAAUUUGGGGUUAAGAAGAAUCAUAAGCCAGGAAAUGGUUGAAGAUCACAUAUGCCGUUGAAACACUGGCCUCAAAUUAUAUCCGCAUAUGCCACAUGGAAAUGCGAUUUCAGGGCCACAAUAUGUAAAAGCAAAAUGGAUACUCUAGUAAUAAUUACAAGUUAGUGAUGCUAUAUUUGUAUCAACCUGCACUUGAUGUUCCUCUUACGCUA